rnacentral:rRNA from 1 species
UACGAAGGGGGCUAGCGUUGUUCGGAUUAACUGGGCGUAAAGGGUGCGUAGGCGGGUUUUUAAGUCAGGGGUGAAAUCCCGAGGCUCAACCUCGGAACUGCCUUUGAUACUGGAAAUCUUGAGUCUGGGAGAGGUGAGUGGAACUGCGAGUGUAGAGGUGAAAUUCGUAGAUAUUCGCAAGAACACCGGUGGCGAAGGCGGCUCACUGGCCCGGAACUGACGCUGAGGCACGAAAGCGAGUGGGG